ACAGACAGGAUUACUACAGGGUCCAGGCCACUCCAGGACAGAGAGGAUUACUACAGGGUCCAGGCCCCUCCAGGACAGAGAGGAUUACUACAGGGUCCAGACCACUCCUGGACAGACAGGAUUACUACAGGGUCCAGGCCCCUCCAGGACAGAGAGGAUUACUACAGGGUCCAGGCACCUCCAGGACAGAGAGGAUUACUACAGGGUCCAGGCCCCUCCAGGACAGACAGGAUUACUACAGGGUCCAGGCCCCUCUAGGACAGACAGACAGGAUUACUACAGGGUCCAGGCCACUCCAGGACAGACAGGAUUACUACAGGGUCCAGGACACUCCAGGACAGACAGGAUUACUACAGGGUCCAGGCCACUCCAGGACAGACAGGAUUACUACAGGGUCCAGGCCCCUCCAGGACAGAGAGGAUUAUUACAGGGUCCAGGCCCCUCCAGGACAGACAGGAUUACUACAGGGUCCAGGCCCCUCUAGGACAGACAGACAGGAUUACUACAGGGUCCAGGCCACUCCAGGACAGACAGGAUUACUACAGGGUCCAGGCCACUCCAGGACAGACAGGAUUACUACAGGGUCCAGGCCACUCCAGGACAGACAGGAUUACUACAGGGUCCAGGCCCCUCCAGGACAGAGAGGAUUACUACAGGGUCCAGGCCCCUCCAGGACAGACAGGAUUACUACAGAGGUCCAGGCCCCUCCAGGACAGAGAGGAUUACUACAGGGUCCAGGCCCCUCUAGGACAGACAGACAGGAUUACUACAGGGUCCAGGCCACUCCAGGACAGACAGGAUUACUACAGGGUCCAGGCCCCUCCAGGACAGACAGGAUUACUACAGGGUCCAGGCCCCUCCAGGACAGACAGGAUUACUACAGGGUCCAGGCCCCUCCAGGACAGACAGGAUUACUACAGGGUCCAGGCCACUCCAGGACAGACAGGAUUACUACAGAGGUCCAGGCCCCUCCAGGACCCAGAGCAGAAGCAACAUGAGGACAGGGCUGGGCUGGGCUGAGGAGGGUGUAGUACUAUGAUGAGAACUAUUCUGAUUUUACUUCACAGUACAUUUUUGACAAGAUCAGAGAUCAAAUCAAAAUGUACGUUUUUGGGUCCUGUACACAGAUUAGAAGAUAUUACAGCAGGUGCAGUGAAAUGCUCGCGUGUGUAGCUCCUACAGUUCAGUAAUACUAUGUCAAUACAACACUAAUAUGUAAAUAGUCCAGAAAGUCCAAAACCAGAAAGAAAUGCAUCCCCUAUACAGUAAACAUGUAUCCAAUAUGAAGUAUUUUUGAU
rnacentral:lncRNA from 1 species